CUUUAAGACCAGAAUACCAUCCUGAAUAUACUGAUCUUGUACAGUUUUGGAAGCUAAGCAGAGUUGGGCCUGCUUAGUACUUGGGUGGGAGACCCUAAGGAAUCUCCAGGUAGAUGAAGU
rnacentral:rRNA from 1 species